UUGGCUUCAGUAAACACGCAGAAGCUCAUUUCGACGACAUAUCAGAUAUUUCAUUCAACGAAAGUUUCAAAUAUAUUACACACAGCAAAAAUGUCCGGGCUCUUCUUUUACCUAAUUUUCGCGUUCAUCGCAGCAGUGGCCAAUGGCCAGAAGGAUCUUAUACCGGAGUAUUUAAGGUCAAUGGAAUGUGGACAAUGUGACGCUCAACAGGAUUGCAGAAUCGAAACGACUGGCUCUUUUUGUCCCUCACAGAAUGACAGGAUGGAGUUUCAUUACAGUCAUGACGGCAAUUUAUCGAAAGGCUUGGAUUCCUUGGCGGAGUGCAUACCCCAACAUUAUUAUUUUAUCAACAAAAAGGCAAUUAGCCAAAUGUGUUGCUUCUGGACACCUCAGACGGGUUGUCAGCAACUAAGAAGCAAAGCCUAUAAAAGAAACCCUUGCUCUGUAUGUGCCAAAUGGAAUUGGAACACAGAAUCAGAUCCAAUGGGGUGUCCGUGCCAUGAAGUAGAAGAGCACAGUAGAAAAAAGAGAAAAGGGAGAAAAGGAGGCGCAACAAAACUCCAACAUUUUGGCUUAUUUCCUGUGAUCUUCAUCUAUUUUGUGCAGCAAAUAUUUUCCCCAUUGGCCCUAUGUGGGAGGGAAAUGUAAAAGGUUCUAUAUCAAACAAAAACUUGCUCCUGCUCCCUGGCUUUAUGGAAACAAAUUUUCAAACUCUUAAGUCAACCAGGACUACUCGGACUACUCGGAUAUUUUGUAUACAUCUGACACUCGAAUGACUAUUCGUUACAUGAGCUUAUGUUCUUACCUGUGAAAUAAUCCAAACUUCAUCAUUCCGAUUGAUAGUUCCUAUUCCGUGGCUGUAUGCGUAAAUAUCACUACACUCUAAAAAGCUAUCCGGAAGGUGGAACAUCUGACAGUAUUAUCCAUCUGACACAAUGACAAUGAUGAUGCAAUACACAAUGUGGUAACCAUUGAAAUAACCCAAACUUCCUCAAAUGGAGACGUGUACACAAAAAAUAUUUCCAAAAUUUCAAAUCGAGAACGAUAUGGCACGGAAAAUAUGACAAGAUCAACGCAAUGGAUUGGUACAUAUUUUUAGUAAAAGAAAAACUAUAAAACCAAGCUUAUGCAUUUGCAGAUACUUCUUUUAAGCGAAGCGGAAAGAGAGUCUAUGCACAUUAUAAUGGGUUCUUAUGACAGGAUGAUCUGAGUCCAGCUUUGACGAACGCUUCGACUAGAUUUUCAUCCAUCGAGAAUCGUUGCCUUAUUUGUUCUCUACUUUUGGCAAUAAACAUUAAGACACUA